UGCAGAACAGGUGCGCAGGAGAGAGGACUGCAGGUAGGGGAGUCAGAACCACCCAGCUCCACUCUGGGUUGGGCCAAGGGUUCAUACAGCAUCAAGCGACAGGACGCUUUGCCUGUUCAGUUGCAUUCUGGGUAGCAGGACACUCGGAGUAAUGAGAAUCUUGCCAGAAGGCCUUGCUGCCCAGACCUCAGCUCUUCACUGCUUCCAGGUUUUGCCAGAGGCGAGUCAAGCUGGGCAUGAUCCAUAGCACAUCUGCAGUGGGUGAGCCAGUUGGCAGACCUGCAUUUUACAAUUCACAGGUUCAACUUUCCACAUCUACACCAGUCCAUUCAUCUCUGCGAACGUGGUGAGGGGAUGGGAAACGAGAGGGAUGAAACCAGUGUCACGGUCUCUUGAAAUGACAUUACGCAUGUGUAAAUCAUGAUUAUGGAUCAUCCCUGUUUAAUAUUUGGACAAAGACAGAGGAAUAAAUCUGGUACUACGAU